UGGUGGAGCUGAGGGAGGAGAGAGUGUGAGCGCGCCGCCAUCCCUCCGGCUGCCCAGACCUGUCCCCCCGUUACUCCUGUGUCACCUGCUACACAUCAUCCCUGUGACAGCUCCUUCGGCCAGCAGAUUAUAAGAAAAGAAAGAAAAAAGAGAGAGAAAGAAGAGAGUUUAGACUCAAGCACAGGUUGUUAUGCAACACGAGCUGAUCGCUGCUUUAGGAAGCGCCACAGCAGGCCCGCGGCGGCUCUGACCGGGAGGGGAGAGGAGCGAGAGUCAGCAGGGACGCACAGGAGAACAAACAGCCACGCAGGCCAGGCACGGUCGGGGCAGCCAGGCCCUGCCCUUCCCGGCCAGGAGAGGAGCAGGGCAGCCGGACGCAAGUGGGGAGGGGCGCAGCGGGCACGGACGGCCGCUCCAGACACCGAGGGCCGUGGUUCCUGAGCGACUCCACAAACAGCCACCACCUGCCGGCCACGAGGGCAGCCUGGGACCCUAGCCCACAGCCCAGCGGGAUCACAGGCGGGAAAUCCCUGUGAUGCCACCAAAUGCAAGACAUUAAGCAGCUGGCUUCUGGGACUCAGCCUUGCCCUGCAAAUGUAAUUCUGACUUUCUCUUUAGUAAAGCACAGGCUUCCAGCCCUCCUGGGCUCAGGACGUUUUGAUUCUAGAAGUGCCUUCCUGGUUUUCCUCAACAAGAAGACCAAACAAGCUUAUUGCAAAAUGAACAGCAACCCAAGAAGGGUCCAUGUCCUUGAACUGGGCUCCCAAUCUGAGCUGGAAACCCCCUCAGGGGGUGGGAGCCCGAGGCACCACUCAGAUUUUCAGAGGCUGAUCCCAGACAGAGCAGCUUUAUUUCCAUACAGAAAUAGUUCCGUUUAAAAUGAAAUCUGUGGGCAGCCCAAGUAGCUCAGCGGUUUAGCGCUGCCUUCAGCCCAGGGCGUGAUCCUGGAGACCCGGGAUCGAGUCCCACAUCAGGCUCCCUGCAUGGAGCCUGCUUCUCCCUCUGCCUGUGUCUCUGCCUCUCCCCGCCCCUCCAUGAAUAAAUAAAAUCUUUAAAAAAUAAAUAAAAUGAAAUCUGAUAAAUAAUAAUGA